rnacentral:rRNA from 1 species
CCUACGGGUGGCAGCAGUCGAGAAUCAUUCACAAUGGGGGAAACCCUGAUGGUGCGACGCCGCGUGGGGGAAUGAAGGUCUUCGGAUUGUAAACCCCUGUCAUGUGGGAGCAAAUUAAAAAGAUAGUACCACAAGAGGAAGAGACGGCUAACUAUGUGUCAGCAGACGCGGUCAUACAGAGGUCUCAAGCGGUGUUCGGAAUCACUGGGCGUAAAGCGUGCGUAGGGAGUUUCGUAAGCCGUGUGUGAAAGGUGCGGGCUCCACCCGCGGAAGGCACAUGAUACUGCGAGACUAGAGUAAUGGAGGAGGAACCGGAAUGCUCGGUGUAGCAGUGAAAUGCGUAGAUAUCGAGAGGAACACUCGUGGCGAAGGCGGGUUCCUGGACAUUAACUGACGCUGAGGCACGAAGGCCAGGGGAGCGAAAGGGAUUAGAUACCCUAGUAGUC